GAUGAACGCUGGCGGCGUGCCUAAUACAUGCAAGUCGAGCGAACAGACGAGGAGCUUGCUCCUCUGACGUUGGCGGCGGACGGGUGAUUAACACGUGGAUGACCUACCUAUACGACUGGGAUAACUUCGGGAAACCGUAUCUAAUACCGGAUAAUAUAUUGCACCUCAUUGUUCAAUAGUGAAAGACGGUUUUGCUGUCACUUAUAGAUGGAUCCGCGCCUCAUUAGUUAGUUGGUAAGGUAACGGCUUACCAAGGCAACGAUGCGUAGCCGACCUGAGAGGGUGAUCGGCCACACUGGCACUGAGACACGGUCCAGACUCCUACGGGAGGCAGCAGUAGGGAAUCUUACGCAAUGGGCGAAAGCCUGACAGAGCAACGCCGCGUGAGUGAUGAAGGUCUUCGGAUCGUAAAACGCUGUAAGUAGGGAAGAACAAAUGUGUAAGUAACUAUGCACGUAUUGACGGUACCUAAUGAAAAAGCCACGGCUAACUACGUG
rnacentral:rRNA from 1 species